GACGAACCGUGCGAACGUUGUUCGGAUUCACUGGGCUUAAAGGGCGCGUAGGCGGCUUGCCAAGUCAGGGGUGAAAUCGUUCGGCUCAACCGGACAAGUGCUUCUGAUACUGGCGGGCUGGAGGGAGGUAGGGCAGACGGAACUUCCGGUGGAGCGGUGAAAUGCGUAGAUAUCGGAAGGAACAUCAGUGGCGAAAGCGGCUUCCUGGUCCAGCACCGACGUUCAGGCACGAAAGCGUGGGGAGCAAACAGG
rnacentral:rRNA from 1 species